GGGUUGUGAGGUUAAGCGACUAAGCGUACACGGUGGAUGCCCUGGCAGUCAGAGGCGAUGAAGGACGUGCUAAUCUGCGAUAAGCGUCGGUAAGGUGAUAUGAACCGUUAUAACCGGCGAUUUCCGAAUGGGGAAACCCAGUGUGAUUCGUCACACUAUCAUUAACUGAAUCCAUAGGUUAAUGAGGCGAACCGGGGGAACUGAAACAUCUAAGUACCCCGAGGAAAAGAAAUCAACCGAGAUUCCCCCAGUAGCGGCGAGCGAACGGGGAGCAGCCCAGAGCCUGAAUCAGUGUGUGUGUUAGUGGAAGCGUCUGGAAAGGCGCGCGAUACAGGGUGACAGCCCCGUACACAAAAAUGCACAUGCUGUGAGCUCGAUGAGUAGGGCGGGACACGUGGUAUCCUGUCUGAAUAUGGGGGGACCAUCCUCCAAGGCUAAAUACUCCUGACUGACCGAUAGUGAACCAGUACCGUGAGGGAAAGGCGAAAAGAACCCCGGCGAGGGGAGUGAAAAAGAACCUGAAACCGUGUACGUACAAGCAGUGGGAGCACAGAGCAAUCUGUGUGACUGCGUACCUUUUGUAUAAUGGGUCAGCGACUUAUAUUCUGUAGCAAGGUUAACCGAAUAGGGGAGCCGAAGGGAAACCGAGUCUUAACUGGGCGUUAAGUUGCAGGGUAUAGACCCGAAACCCGGUGAUCUAGCCAUGGGCAGGUUGAAGGUUGGGUAACACUAACUGGAGGACCGAACCGACUAAUGUUGAAAAAUUAGCGGAUGACUUGUGGCUGGGGGUGAAAGGCCAAUCAAACCGGGAGAUAGCUGGUUCUCCCCGAAAGCUAUUUAGGUAGCGCCUCGUGAAUUCAUCUCCGGGGGUAGAGCACUGUUUCGGCAAGGGGGUCAUCCCGACUUACCAACCCGAUGCAAACUGCGAAUACCGGAGAAUGUUAUCACGGGAGACACACGGCGGGUGCUAACGUCCGUCGUGAAGAGGGAAACAACCCAGACCGCCAGCUAAGGUCCCAAAGUCAUGGUUAAGUGGGAAACGAUGUGGGAAGGCCCAGACAGCCAGGAUGUUGGCUUAGAAGCAGCCAUCAUUUAAAGAAAGCGUAAUAGCUCACUGGUCGAGUCGGCCUGCGCGGAAGAUGUAACGGGGCUAAACCAUGCACCGAAGCUGCGGCAGCGACACUAUGUGUUGUUGGGUAGGGGAGCGUUCUGUAAGCCUGUGAAGGUGUACUGUGAGGUAUGCUGGAGGUAUCAGAAGUGCGAAUGCUGACAUAAGUAACGAUAAAGCGGGUGAAAAGCCCGCUCGCCGGAAGACCAAGGGUUCCUGUCCAACGUUAAUCGGGGCAGGGUGAGUCGACCCCUAAGGCGAGGCCGAAAGGCGUAGUCGAUGGGAAACAGGUUAAUAUUCCUGUACUUGGUGUUACUGCGAAGGGGGGACGGAGAAGGCUAUGUUGGCCGGGCGACGGUUGUCCCGGUUUAAGCGUGUAGGCUGGUUUUCCAGGCAAAUCCGGAAAAUCAAGGCUGAGGCGUGAUGACGAGGCACUACGGUGCUGAAGCAACAAAUGCCCUGCUUCCAGGAAAAGCCUCUAAGCAUCAGGUAACAUCAAAUCGUACCCCAAACCGACACAGGUGGUCAGGUAGAGAAUACCAAGGCGCUUGAGAGAACUCGGGUGAAGGAACUAGGCAAAAUGGUGCCGUAACUUCGGGAGAAGGCACGCUGAUAUGUAGGUGAAGUCCCUCGCGGAUGGAGCUGAAAUCAGUCGAAGAUACCAGCUGGCUGCAACUGUUUAUUAAAAACACAGCACUGUGCAAACACGAAAGUGGACGUAUACGGUGUGACGCCUGCCCGGUGCCGGAAGGUUAAUUGAUGGGGUUAGCGCAAGCGAAGCUCUUGAUCGAAGCCCCGGUAAACGGCGGCCGUAACUAUAACGGUCCUAAGGUAGCGAAAUUCCUUGUCGGGUAAGUUCCGACCUGCACGAAUGGCGUAAUGAUGGCCAGGCUGUCUCCACCCGAGACUCAGUGAAAUUGAACUCGCUGUGAAGAUGCAGUGUACCCGCGGCAAGACGGAAAGACCCCGUGAACCUUUACUAUAGCUUGACACUGAACAUUGAGCCUUGAUGUGUAGGAUAGGUGGGAGGCUUUGAAGUGUGGACGCCAGUCUGCAUGGAGCCGACCUUGAAAUACCACCCUUUAAUGUUUGAUGUUCUAACGUUGACCCGUGAUCCGGGUUGCGGACAGUGUCUGGUGGGUAGUUUGACUGGGGCGGUCUCCUCCUAAAGAGUAACGGAGGAGCACGAAGGUUGGCUAAUCCUGGUCGGACAUCAGGAGGUUAGUGCAAUGGCAUAAGCCAGCUUGACUGCGAGCGUGACGGCGCGAGCAGGUGCGAAAGCAGGUCAUAGUGAUCCGGUGGUUCUGAAUGGAAGGGCCAUCGCUCAACGGAUAAAAGGUACUCCGGGGAUAACAGGCUGAUACCGCCCAAGAGUUCAUAUCGACGGCGGUGUUUGGCACCUCGAUGUCGGCUCAUCACAUCCUGGGGCUGAAGUAGGUCCCAAGGGUAUGGCUGUUCGCCAUUUAAAGUGGUACGCGAGCUGGGUUUAGAACGUCGUGAGACAGUUCGGUCCCUAUCUGCCGUGGGCGCUGGAGAACUGAGGGGGGCUGCUCCUAGUACGAGAGGACCGGAGUGGACGCAUCACUGGUGUUCGGGUUGUCAUGCCAAUGGCACUGCCCGGUAGCUAAAUGCGGAAGAGAUAAGUGCUGAAAGCAUCUAAGCACGAAACUUGCCCCGAGAUGAGUUCUCCCUGACCCUUUAAGGGUCCUGAAGGAACGUUGAAGACGACGACGUUGAUAGGCCGGGUGUGUAAGCGCAGCGAUGCGUUGAGCUAACCGGUACUAAUGAACCGUGAGGCUUAACCUUACAACGCCGAAGGUGUUU
rnacentral:rRNA from 1 species